UACACGAGAGCAUGGAGGUAAGAACGCCCAAGGAAGAAGAAGCAAGAAAAAAAAAUUACUGCAAAGUUUAAAAGGUUAAAGAGAGAGGCAAAAGGAGCUCUUCCCCUAAAGGAUUAACACAGUGAGCAAGAGGAGAAAUCGUGUUCUGAUCUCCCAGCUACUGGAGUCUUAAAGCUGAAACCCUUGUCUUACAGAGCUAUAAAUAAAAAGCCUCUUUGGA